rnacentral:rRNA from 1 species
GUGCCAGCAGCCGCGGUAAUACGUAGGUGGCAAGCGUUGUCCGGAUUUAUUGGGUUUAAAGGGUGCGUAGGCGGUCUUAUAAGUCAGUGCUGAAAUAUCCCGGCUUAACCGGGAGGGUGGCAUUGAUACUGUAGGACUUGAGUAAAGUUGAGGUUGGCGGAAUUGACGGUGUAGCGGUGAAAUGCUUAGAUAUCGUCAAGAACACCGAUAGUGUAGACAGCUAACUAAGCUUUAACUGACGCUGAGGCACGAAAGUGUGGGGAUCAAACAGGAUUAGAUACCCUGGUAGUCC